rnacentral:rRNA from 1 species
CAGUAGCCGCGGUAAUACGGAGGGGGCUAGCGUUGUUCGGAAUUACUGGGCGUAAAGCGCACGUAGGCUGCUUUGUAAGUUAGAGGUGAAAGCCUGGUGCUCAACACCAGAACUGCCUUUAAGACUGCAGAGCUAGAACGUCGGAGAGGUGAGUGGAAUUCCGAGUGUAGAGGUGAAAUUCGUAGAUAUUCGGAAGAACACCAGUGGCGAAGGCGGCUCACUGGACGACUGUUGACGCUGAGGUGCGAAAGCGUGGGGAGCAAACAGGAUUAGAUACCCCCGUAGUCCCUGUCUCUUAUAC